UUUGCGCAAGCUUGCUUUUUGACAAGAUGUCAAAUGUCAUAGAGUUAAAAAGGAGCCAUCUUGACUGCUAACUUAUACCUACAAGUGAACUUGCUUGAAGUAACUGUGUGCAUUGAAAUCAAUUGAAUACUUCUGCACAGUAACAACCGACCAGCACUAGGCAAAGCAACAUCUCAAUCCAAAUAUCAACAAAUAACUCAUUUUAACAUUCGGUGUACACUGGAAUCAAUCGGUUCACAUCUUCAUCUCUUCAAUCUACAAUACCUAUACACUACACACACUC